rnacentral:lncRNA from 1 species
ACUUCCUGCAUCGCCACCAAUGUGGCCCAGGCCACCAGCCCCCGUGACACUGCAGCCAUCCCCUUUGCUCCCCGUCGUGGCCUCCCGACCGAGCAGCCAGAGUGACCCCGAAAGCCUAAAUCAGCCUGCGGCGCCCUCACCCGUCCUCCAGCUGCCAUCGCCUCCUGGGUGAAGAGGACGCAGCUGGUGACGCGCACUGACGUCCUGCAAGGCCCGCUCCAGGUGCGCCACCUUUGACUGGCAUGCUGAAAGGACAAAGGGACGGAGGCAUUUUACCGGAGAGGACAUCCAUGGGGCCCAGCAGGUCAAAUUCCUUUCUCUAAGUAUGGGAGACAUUUUUAAAAAUAAUGGAGUCCUCCAGGGCCGGCUGCGUGCUGUGGCCUGUGCUCCUCACUGCUUUGGACCCAGGCUGCGCUGUCUCCACCACGACCAAGGACUCACAGAGCUCGCCUGGGGGACCUGGCCCCACAGUCACCCCGUCCGUCAUCAGCCUCAAAUGCCAUCAGCCCGUGAAUGCUGCUCCAUCGUCUGCAUGGCAGCCAAGGAGGAUGGUGCCAGGUGAUGUGGCGAUGAGUGGGCAUCGCGUGGGGGCCUUGGACGAGCGUGGACACCCCAAUCCCCAGACUGGCCAUUGCCGUGGAGGCAGCGUGAGUGUGACAUGGAGCUCGGUGUCGUGCUGCAGAGGACGCCUCGCGGCUGUACGCGUCAUGAUAGCCAGGGACCCCUCCACAUGUCACUUAGCCAAAGGAUGCAGCCCAGCCUGGGGCUUUCUACCCCAGGCCCGAGGACCUGCAGGGACAAGGACCCCUCAGCGCAGAUGCAGCUCUCAUGAGGCCUGAAACCAAGCUGGACUUGCAGAACUGCGCACGCUCCCUUUCUGAAAGAAACACCCGUUACCGGGUCCAGACUGAAUGUGGGCGUAAGAAAGCGGGAAGGGUCCCCCACAGCAAGAGAGAGACCCUCCCAGUCACUUGGUCAUCUGAGCCUUGAGUGUGUCCGGCCCCAGCCACCAGCCUGUCCCCACUAUCCCUCUUGUCAGCACGGCUGAAAGGAGCUGCCUGGGCACCUGAGGUGGCUGAGGCUCAUCUUUGAGGAGCAUGGAACUCGAGGGGAGAAGUCGCGCCCCCAGGGAAGCCAGUACAGACGGGUUUCACCCUGUUGCCCAGGCUGCUCUCAAACUCCUGGCCUCAUGUGAUCUGCCCGCCUCGGCCUCCCAAGGUGCUGGGAUUACAGGCAUGAGCCAUCGGGCCUGGCCGGCUAGUGCAAUUUGGACGAUGAGUUUAAAACUGCAGAACCAAAGUAACCUCUUCCACAGGCUUCAAGCACAGUAGCUGAAGAUAAUAAAUCCAUUAUAACAAAAGAGUAGCCAAAAUGCUGUGGCAUUCUUAGAAAUGAAGAAAGAACUGAACUGAUAAGACAAAAAAAAAAAAA